UGGAAACUAAAAUGAGCCAAGGGCGUAGUGACGCUCCUAGCACGUGACCAAGGAGACUAUGCUCCGAGAUUCCCAUAUAUGCCCUUCGUUCUUUCACAUAAACGUGUCUGUCUUUCGGCUUCAAUCUGAUUCAGGGACAAUCCAUUCACUACUUCCAUGAAGAUCUAGGGUUUCUUCCACUUCGUCAGCUUCAAAUCUGAACCUUUCCGCCUCGAAUUUCUGAUUUUCGAUGUUCUUGAUUCAAUGCGUUGAGCAAUGGCGUUGUGGUUCAUCUAGGUUGCUUUGGGUGAUCGAUGCUUGUCUGUUGUCCUUUUUUGUGAUCUAGGAUUAUUCUGAUUUUGUUCUGUGGAUGAGAGAUUCAAUUUGGCUACGAUGAAUAUGGAGAUAGUUAGCGAUGUGCUGUCUUUGGACGCCGAAUUGUUGCAGCUGCCGGAGGUGUCGCCUUUUGCUCUCAAGUCGAACCCUAGGUUCUCCGAGGAGCUUUUUGACCAGUGGCUUUCGCUUCCUGAGACUAACCGUCUGGUAUUUUCUUCACACAAUGUUUUUUUUCCAAGAAUGAAUGUUGAUUGGCAUUUGUCGUCUU